GCCUGGCUGAAGAUAAUAAACUUAGUACUUUUUGAGAGGCAAUCCAGUUCCAGCUUUUACUUUUGCUUUCUUUUGUAUUUUAUUUAAGUUAAUCAAGUCUUGCUUCGUAUCUUUUGAAGGGAUUUGAGCACAAUAUUGGCUAAGUUAGGGGAAAACUAAUUUUGAAAAAACUUCUAGAUCAGGUGACAUCUCUUUUUUUUUCUCUUUUUAUGCA
rnacentral:lncRNA from 1 species